rnacentral:rRNA from 1 species
AAUGCCGCGUGUGUGAAGAAGGCCUGCGGGUUGUAAAGCACUUUUAUCAGGAAAGAACCUGCCUGGGAUUAAUAUGCUCAGGCACUGACGGUACCUGAGGAAUAAGCACCGGCUAACUCCGUGCCAGCCACGGCGGUGACUGAGCGGGCUGGCAAGGCGCAUA